UCCCCAGUGGCUCAGUGGUAAAGAAUCUGCCUGCAAUGCAGGAGACCUGGGUUUGAUCCCUGGGUUGGGAA
rnacentral:tRNA from 1 species